rnacentral:rRNA from 1 species
GUGUUUGUUACUUAAGGGCGCAUGGUGGAUGCCUUGGCAUGCUGAGCCGAUGAAGGACGUGUGAGACUGCGUUAUGCCUCGGGGAGUUGUCAACAAAGCGUUGAUCCGAGGGUGUCCGAAUGGGGAAACCUGGCCACAGUUGUGUGUGGUCGCCUGCUGGUGAAUUCAUAGCCGGUUGGGAGGUGACGUCGGGAAGUGAAACAUCUCAGUACCGACAGGAGAGGAAAAUAAGAAUGAUUCUGCUAGUAGCGGCGAGCGAACGUGGAGGAGGCUAAACCGUGUGCGUGUGAUACCUGGCAGGGGUUGCGUGUGCGGUGUUGUGGGGUGCGGUUGUGGUGUUCUGCCAGGCACCGGUGCGCAUUGUUGUGUUAGCGGAAGUGGCCUGGGAUGGUCUACCGGAGUGGGUGAGAGUCCCGUACGUGAAGACAUGGUGGUGUGUGCUUGAUUGUGUCCCCGAGUAGCAGCGGGCUCGUGGAAUCUGCUGUGAAUCUGCCGGGACCACCCGGUAAGCCUAAAUACUCAGUGUGACCGAUAGUGAAUUAAGUACCGUGAGGGAAUGGUGAAAAGUACCCCGGGAGGGGAGUGAAAUAGUUCCUGAAACUGUGUGCCUACAAUCCGUCAGAGCACCUCUUGUGUGUGAUGGCGUGCCUUUUGAAGAAUGAGCCUGCGAGUCAGCGGCAUGUCGCGAGGUUAACCCGU